GACCCAUUUGAUUCGUUUGAAUGUCUUAAUGUCAAUGUGUAGUGAUCACCUAUUAUGUUUAUGUGUGACACACACAGUAUAUUUCCCUUAUUGUUGAUGUUGCUUAAGGUGAGUUCGUUGGGACGCAUAAAAUGCCAGGUAUAUGGCUGUUUUGAGUGUGUUAUUGGUGUGAUUAUCAAAGGGUUUGGUAUCUAACAUGUCAGACAAUGCCCUGAAUUUCUCUGCGACAAUUGGUAGCCAUCUAGUAGGUUUUAGGUUUUCUAGGCGUUGGAUGCCUUUUAGCAUAUUUUAAUGGGGUGUGCUGAUAGGAAGUUUUUUAUACUGGAAUAUGUGUUGCUUACAUGAUGCUGUAUUCCAGUUAAAUAGAGUUUUAUGGUGUUGUGUGCCAGUUUCAAGUUGAG